rnacentral:rRNA from 1 species
AUUGAACGCUGGCGGCAGGCUUAACACAUGCAAGUCGAGCGGGGUGAUGGUGCUUGCACUAUCACUUAGCGGCGGACGGGUGAGUAAUGCUUAGGAAUCUGCCUAUUAGUGGGGGACAACAUCUCGAAAGGGAUGCUAAUACCGCAUACGUCCUACGGGAGAAAGCAGGGGAUCACUAGUGACCUUGCGCUAAUAGAUGAGCCUAAGUCGGAUUAGCUAGUUGGUGGGGUAAAGGCCUACCAAGGCGACGAUCUGUAGCGGGUCUGAGGGGAUGAUCCGCAACACUGGGACUGAGACACGGCCCAGACUCCUACGGGGGGCAGCAGUGGGGAAUAUUGGACAAUGGGGGGAACCCUGAUCCAGCCAUGCCGCGUGUGUGAAGAAGGCCUUAUGGUUGUAAAGCACUUUAAGCGAGGAGGAGGCUCUUUUGGUUAAUACCCAAGAUGAGUGGACGUUACUCGCAGAAUAAGCACCGGCUAACUCUGUGCCAGCCGCCGCAGUAA